AUGCCGCCCCGACCCAAAAAAAAGGGCGACCGAUUUCCUCGGUGCCCGGGCGAGGGAGCGCCCCGUCCGAUGGUGGUUGUGGUGGUCAAGCAGGAGCAGGACGACGACGCGGCCGCCGCCGCCUGGGGCACGUGGGAGGAGCUCGUGCUCGGCGGCGCCGUCCUCCGCCACGGCGCCGCCGACUGGCACGCCGUCGCCGCCGAGCUGCGCGCCCGCUCCCCGUGCUCCUUCUCGCCCAAGGAAUGCGAAGCAAAAUUUUCAGAGAUUCAAGCACGCUACUCUGCAUGCGAUGCUUGGUUUGAGGAGCUUCGCAAGCAGAGAGUUGCUGAAUUGAAAAGGGAGCUGAGGAAAUCAGAAAGUUUUAUUGGGUCCUUGCAGUCUGUGAUCGAGAGUCUCAGCAAUAGCAAACAUGAUAAUGGUAAUAACUUAGGAUGUCACACUGAAUCAUGUUCACACACUGAAAAUGCAGCUGAUACUACUUCCUCGAGCAAAGAAUUGUCCAAAGACAGAUCAUCCGCUGCUAGUUUCACAGAGGAAGCAAGCAACAGUCAAAAAUCUCAGAAAGUUCAAAAUACAUCAGCAGAGACAUUAUCAAAGCCCCAUGCUGAAAAGAAGCUCUGUGCCAAAGAUGGUUUGCUUUGGGGCUCUAGAAAGAAAAGGGGAUUGAGGGAUAAAAGGGCUAUUCUGAUGGCUGUUGAUAGUAGCAGAGAUGGUGAAAAUACAUCUACGCCAUGCAUACAGGGAGAGGGUUCCUCUGAGGGCUGCAUGAAGAAAUUGAAAACUCCAAAGAUAGAGCCUGGUGUAUCUGUGUGCAAAGCUCCAUGCGUACAGAGAGAGGUUCCCUCUGAAGGCUGCAUCAAGGAACUGAAAACUCCAAAGAUAGAGCCUGGUGUAUCUGUGCGCGAGGGAGCAAAACCAAAAUUGGCAGAUAUUAUGAAUAGUAUAUCCGCUCAAGGUGACUGUAAGAUGUUGCAACACCAAAUUGAUAUCCAGCGGAAGAGAGCUAGAUACAAGAAGAUGAUCCGUCAGCAUAUGGACUUCCGAAUCCUUCGUUCAAAGAUAAAGAGUGGUGCUAUCUCUUCUGCCAAGGAGCUCCUAAAAGACAUGCUCGUGUUUGUGAAUAAUGUCCUUACUUUUUUUCCAAAGGCCACACUGGAGCACAUGGCUGCAAUCGAACUUCGAGGUCUCAUAUGCAAAACGUGGCAACAGAGUUCAGUCGUUCUCUCCAUGAAUUGUGAAGCAGCAGGGAUAGCUAGUGACCCUGUAAUCAAGAAGACCAAGGCAAGGAUCGCUAGUGGCCCUGUAAUCAAGAAGACAGCUGCUGAGCCUGUACUAAAGAAGACCAUGGCAGCGAUAGCUAGUGAGCCUGUAAUAAAGAAGACAGUGGCUGGGAUAGCAAGUGAACCUGUGAUGAAGAAGACCGGGGCAGGGAUAGCUUGUGAGGCUGUAAUCAAGAAGACUGCUGCAAGGGUAGCAAGUGACCCCAUAAGCAAGAAGGCGGCGGCAGGGGCCACUAGUGCCCCUGCAUCCAAGAAGAUUUCUCGAACAUUGCCGCCAAUACGUCACGUGCCUCGUGAUGCAAAGAGAAGCAAGGUUUCCUCAAGGGAGACUGGAAGCACUGUCAGUCAGGGUGAGAGCGAGACCAGGGACGUCCCCGCCGUUGCAGCGGCAGCAGCCGAGGAAGAAACCGUCGAGAGAAGUGCGCCCGCCGCCAAGAAGCGAGGGGUCGGGCGGCCUCCAAAGAGUGGACAGAAGCGUGCUGCACCGCCGCCGCAAGACAGUCCUAGCAAAGGCAGGAAGAGGAGUCGACGGUGA
rnacentral:rRNA from 1 species